rnacentral:rRNA from 1 species
CAGCAGCCGCGGUAAUACGUAGGUGGCAAGCGUUGUCCGGAAUUAUUGGGCGUAAAGGGCUCGCAGGCGGUUUCUUAAGUCUGAUGUGAAAGCCCCCGGCUCAACCGGGGAGGGUCGUUGGAAACUGGGAAACUUGAGUGCAGAAGAGGAGAGUGGAAUUCCACGUGUAGCGGUGAAAUGCGUAGAGAUGUGGAGGAACACCAGUGGCGAAGGCGACUCUCUGGUCUGUAACUGACGCUGAGGAGCGAAAGCGUGGGGAGCGAACAGGAUUAGAGACCCCUGUAGUCCCUGUCUCUUAUAC